rnacentral:rRNA from 1 species
AUGGACACCUCCACCCUCGCCGCCGUCGCUUCCUUCGUCGCCUUGUCCACGAAGCCCCGCCUCCUCCCGCCACUCAUCCCCUCUCGCAGCCUUCCACGCACCCGCGGCUCCCUUGCCGUCUGCUGCUCUCACUCCCACGCCUCUCCUCCGCCCUCGCCCCUCCCGUGCACUGCGUCCGAUGAGGAGGAGGUCGCUCCUCCGCACCUCCGCCUCUGCCGGCUCGCCGAGGAGUUCGGCGCUCUCCCGGACGCCGACCGCGCGCGCCGCCUGCUCGCUUACGCGGCCGCGCUCCCGCCGCUGCCCCAGGCGGACCGCGUCGCGGCCAACCGCGUCAUGGGGUGCGUCGCGCAGGUCUGGCUCCUGGGCAGCUGCGAUCGCUCGGGACGCAUGCGGUUCGCGGCCGACUCCGACUCCGAGCUCUCGCGCGGGUAUUGUUCCUGCCUCGUCUCCGCGCUCGACGGCGCGGGCCCCGAGGAGGUGCUCGACGUGGACCCCGCCGAUCUCGCGCCGCUCGGUGUGGCCGCGGGGGCGCGGUCCCGGGUCAAUACGUGGUACAACGUGCUCGUCGGCAUGCAGAAGCGGGCACGGGCAGCCAUUGCGGCGCGCGAGGGCAGGCGUCGUGGGGAACCGUUCCCGUCGCUCGUGAUCGGCCGGGACGGCGCCGUCCGCGCGCAAGGAAGCUACGCCGAGGCCAAGGCGAAGUUUUUAUCUCCUGACCAGUCCAAGAUUUCCGAGCUUGUGAAUGCCCUCAGAGAGAAACAAAUUGGGAUUGUGGCCCAUUUCUACAUGGAUCCUGAGGUGCAAGGCAUACUAACUGCUGCAAAGAGGCAAUGGCCCCACAUUCACAUAUCCGACUCAUUGGUAAUGGCAGAUAGUGCUGUUCAGAUGGCUGAAGCAGGAUGCAAAUAUAUCGCUGUGCUAGGUGUUGACUUCAUGUCAGAAAAUGUCCGUGCAAUACUUGAUCAAGCAGGAUUUACUCAGGUUGGUGUUUAUAGAAUGUCCAGCGAGCAAAUUGGUUGUUCCUUGGCAGAUGCUGCUUCAAGUUCUGCUUAUACACAUUUUCUUAAGACGGCAUCAAGAUCUCCUCCUUCUUUACAUGUCAUUUAUAUCAAUACCUCACUGGAAACAAAAGCUCGUACUCAUGAACUUGUUCCUACGAUAACCUGUACCUCUUCCAAUGUUGUUGCAACUAUACUACAGGCAUUUGCUGAAAUACCAGAUCUUAAUGUCUGGUAUGGUCCUGAUUCCUAUAUGGGUGCGAACAUAGCAGACCUAUUUAAGAGAAUGACUAUCAUGUCAGAUGAAGAGAUUACAGAGAUACAUCCAGAUCACAACAGGAAAACUAUAAGUUCAUUAUUACAACGUCUUCAUUACUAUCAGAAUGGUAACUGUAUUGUGCAUGAUAUGUUUGGCCAUGAAGUUGUGGAGAAAAUAAAGGAGGAAUACUGUGAUGCAUUUCUAACUGCACACUUUGAAGUCCCAGGAGAAAUGUUCUCUUUGUCGAUGGAAGCAAAGACGAGGGGAAUGGGAGUAGUUGGAUCCACUCAGAAUAUCUUAGAUUUCAUUAAAUACCAUUUGAAGCAGACUCUGGAUCGGAAUGUUGAUGAUCAUCUUCAGUUUGUAUUGGGAACAGAAUCAGGAAUGAUCACUUCGAUUGUUGCUGCUGUCCGGCAAUUAUUUGACUCCUAUGAAUCUUCCAAAGAAGUAGCGAAUGAUUUAGAACAGAUUAGUAUCGUGCCUGGUGUGUUUUCUGGUGAAGGGUGCUCUAUCCAUGGUGGCUGUGCGUCAUGCCCUUACAUGAAGAUGAAUUCUCUCGAGUCGCUAUUUAAAAUCUGCCAGCAGCUUCCUGGUGAAGACAACAGUUUAUCUGUUUAUCAGGCUAGUCGAUUGAAUGCUAAGACUUCCCUUGGGAAAUUGGUUGCGGAGGUUGGGUGUGAGCCAAUUUUGCAUAUGAGGCAUUUCCAGGCGACAAAGAGAUUACCAGACAAGCUCGUUCACCAGAUUAUCCAUGGUAACGGAGGGGAACCUUUAUGA